GGUGCAGGGCUGGGUGACAGCCUCUGGUUGGCCUUGGGGCAGGCCCUGGCCCCAGCACAGACACAGGGUGGUUUGGGGAUGCUUGGGGAGCAAUGGGAGGCAAAUGAGGGAUGGUGCUGGGCGGAGAGAUCAGCCUGUGCUUGUGUCAGUGCAGCUGUGCAGGGCGCUGGGAUCUGGGUAAAACUCCAGCUCUCCUGGUGUUCAGGGAUGCAAGGUCUGAGGGACUGGAUUUACCUAGGACUUUCCAGGAACAAGGAGAAAUGUGGUGCCAGAGCUGUGCCCCGUCAGAUUCUGUUUCCCUUUGGGGAUGGGGAGUCUCUGGGCUGAGGUGAGAUUGCUGUGUGAGUGGCAGGGAACAGGGAGCUGAGAAUUGCAGGCACUGAUGGAAUAGUUGUCUUAGGUCUGUUUGGUUUGUGUUGGUGAAAACUGGGAUGUGGGCUGGAGAGGUGCUCUUGGGAACAAUGGAUAGAGUACAUUUGCUCCAUGGAUGUGUAAGGAAGGACAGGGAAGGGGGGAGUAUUUAUAAACUGUUCUCAGUAUUUCACGCAACUUUGGGGUGGAGCAGCGAUGCGGGUGGGUGGGUUUGGCCUGGGCCUGUCAGGACUAACCACAAAGAAUCCAACCAAGCCCCUGACCCCUCAAGGCAUCUGUGAAACGCUUCCACAGCAACCCAAGUCAGAAAUCCAGUGAUUAUGGAGGUAAAAUUAUAGAUGCUGGGAUUGCCUCUGGGCACAUGUGCUGAGCUCUCCCUGCAGGGAACUGUCAGCCCUGAAUGCCUGUGCAAUAACUGCAGCUGCCCAGGCAGGCACAGGAAACUAUUCCACACAUGAAAUUGCCAUGACCCAAGGCCCUCCUGGAGAGAGUGUAGAGAGUUACAGCACUGAUCCUGCUCCCUGCUUUCCCAGUAGUGCAUGAACAUGAUUUCAUCCUGAUCCUGAGAGCGCCAAGGACAAUAACCACUGAGGUGCCACUGAUGAUGCCACUUUUCUGAUGGGCCUGGCCCAGAACCAUAGCCCAGCAGGGUUCUGUGGGAGCAGUUCAGUUCCCCCUCCCUUCCUGCACUCUGGGCAGUUCCAGGAGACACCUGAUCCCUUUCCUAGGCUGCCACCACAGCCUAAGCUCCCACCCCCACUGGGCCGUGAUGGCAUCAGCCCACCCAGAGCUAGCUGCCUGCUCCGGCCUUUGUGCUGCUGCUGCACAUCAGGCCCGGCCAGGGGAGCUGAAAUAAAGCCUGGAACUCUCAAGGGUAAACUGGCAGCACAACCACAACCCUCCCUCACUUGAGAGUAAAGAGGUGUCCCUGUAUUUACACACAUCCAGGAACAAUACUUCUCUAGAGGAGUCUUGGAUUUACUUUUUUUAUCAGUUGAACUGGCACAGCUGCCCCCUGCUGCCAUUAAAUUCUCCAUCCCCACAAUCCCUGGUUACCCUUGGCUGUGGGGUUUUUGCUGUCCCACAGUGAGUUAGGAGGGAUCUCUGGCCAGCCUCAUUGCCCAAGAGCAUUUGAAAUCCUAAUCCUCACUUCUCUGACUACUGAAUGUCUUAAAAGCCACUCUGCAUUGUGCAGACAAGCGCCUUGGUCCCACUGGGAACUGCACAUCUCUAACAGCUGUUAUCAGUUAUUCCAACUGAGUAAAAUAAUUAUUAAGGAAAAGAGGGACCAUUUAAACCAAACAACUUUUGCCUGAUGUUUUCCUCAGGAAGGAGUUGGGAGCUCAGCAGCAAGGCCAUCAGACAGGCACAGUGUCUGAUAUAAACUAUAUCUGUGCACACAUAAAAAAUAUGUUAUAUAUAAAUAGAUAGCUAUAUGCCCUAAUAUAUAAUACAUAUUUAUAUUCAUGAGUUAUGUAAGGCAUAAAUAUCUGCCCUAUAUAUAACCAAAAAUAUUUUUUAUCACAAACCUCCUAUAAUUUACCCCCUGACGCCUGAUGCUAGGGAUGUAACAUUUUAGGGAUCCUAAAAUCAAACAUAUGCAGGAAAAUAAACCAUGAUUUUAUGCCAUUAAUUCCAAGAUGUUUUCCUGGAUGUGUACUGCUGCAUCUGUUUUUCUGUAAGAUCUUGUGCCUUAUCCCUGAAGUGCACUCAGAAUUGUCAGGAUCAUGAAAUCCAUUUGGGAUUUUACUGUUGCUGCAGUAUCCAGUGAGAUGAGUUUUUUCAAAAUUAUUUCUCUGGGACCGAGCACAUCUCCUCAAGUUCCUUCUCACUUUCUGCAUCCUGGAAAUGCAAAAAGGGAAAAGAUCAAUGUGCAGCUCAACUGAAACAAAUAAAAAGCAUCAUUUCCCUUC